UACGGCUCAGUAACACGUCGAUAACGUCCCGUAAGGACGGGAAUAACCUCGGGAAACUGAGGAUAAUACCCGAUAGGGAAUAAGGUGUGGAAUUCUCUUAUUCCAGAAAGAUUCGUCGCCUUACGAUCGGCCGGCGGCCCAUCAGGUAGUUGGUGAGGUAAUGGCUCACCAAGCCGAAGACGGGUAAGGGUCAUGAGAGUGAGUGCCCUGAGAAGGACACUGAGAUACGGGUCCUAGCCCUAAGGGGUGCAGCAGUUACGAAAACUUCGCAAUGCACGGAAGUGUGACGAGGGAAUUCUGAGUGCUUACGGUUUAUCCGUAAGCUUUUCAUCAGGGUAAAUACCUGGUGGAAUAAGUGGUGGGCAAGACUGGUGCCAGCCGCCGCGGUAACCCCAGCGCCACAAGUGGGAACCACGUUUAUUGGGUCUAAAGCAUCCGUAGCCGGUCUGGCAAAUGCCCUGUGAAAUCGCAUCGCUUAACGAUGCGGCGGGCAGGGUAGACUACCAGACUAGGGACCAGGAAAGGAAAGCGAUAUUUCUGAGGGAGCGGUAAAAUGUUAUAAUCUCAGAAGGAUCACCAAUGGCGAAGGCAGCUUUCUAGAAUGGAUCCGACGGUGAGGGAUGAAAGCUAGGGGAGCGAUCCGGAUUAGAUACCCGAGUAGUCCUAGCCGUAAACGCUGCAUGCCAGAUGUUACACAAUCUUCGGGAUUGUGUAGUGUCGAAAUGAAGAUGUUAAGCAUGCCACCUGGGAAGUACGGUCGCAAGGCUGAAACUUAAAGGAAUUGGCGGGGGAG
rnacentral:rRNA from 1 species